rnacentral:rRNA from 1 species
GCGGCCUUAGCGCGGUGGUCCCACCUGACCCCAUGCCGAACUCAGAAGUGAAACGCCGUAGCGCCGAUGGUAGUGUGGGGUCUCCCCAUGCGAGAGUAGGGAACUGC